CCUACGGGUGGCAGCAGUGAGGAAUAUUGGUCAAUGGGCGUAAGCCUGAACCAGCCAAGUCGCGUGAGGGAUGAAGGUUCUAUGGAUCGUAAACCUCUUUUGUCAGGGAGUAAAGUGCGGGACGUGUGGCGUUUUGUAUGUACCUGAUGAAUAAGCAUCGGCUAACUCCGUGCCAGCAGCCGCGGUAAUACGGAGGAUGCGAGCGUUAUCCGGAUUUAUUGGGUUUAAAGGGUGCGUAGGCGGACUAUUAAGUCAGCGGUAAAAGCGUGGGGCUCAACCCCGGCGAGCCGUUGAAACUGGCUGUCUUGAGAUGGCGAGAAGUAUGCGGAAUGCGCAGUGUAGCGGUGAAAUGCUUAGAUAUUGCGAAGAACUCCGAUUGCGAAGGCAGCAUACCGGCGGCGAACUGACGCUGAGGCACGAAAGCGUGGGUAUCGAACAGGAUUAGAUACCCGAGUAGUC
rnacentral:rRNA from 1 species